rnacentral:rRNA from 1 species
GACGAACGCUGGCGGCGUGCCUAAUACAUGCAAGUAGAACGCUGAAGGAGGAGCUUGCUUCUCUGGAUGAGUUGCGAACGGGUGAGUAACGCGUAGGUAACCUGCCUGGUAGUGGGGGAUAACUAUUGGAAACGAUAGCUAAUACCGCAUAAUAGCAGUUGUUGCAUGAUAACUGUUUGAAAGGUGCAAUUGCACCGCUACCAGAUGGACCUGCGUUGUAUUAGCUAGUUGGUGGGGUAACGGCUCACCAAGGCGACGAUACAUAGCCGACCUGAGAGGGUGAUCGGCCACACUGGGACUGAGACACGGCCCAGACUCCUACGGGAGGCAGCAGUAGGGAAUCUUCGGCAAUGGACGGAAGUCUGACCGAGCAACGCCGCGUGAGUGAAGAAGGUUUUCGGAUCGUAAAGCUCUGUUGUAAGAGAAGAACGAGUGUGAGAGUGGAAAGUUCACAAUGUGACGGUAUCUUACCAGAAAGGGACGGCUAACUACGUG